rnacentral:rRNA from 1 species
AUUGAACGCUGGCGGCAUGCCUUACACAUGCAAGUCGAACGGCAGCGCGGGAGCAAUCCUGGCGGCGAGUGGCGAACGGGUGAGUAAUACAUCGGAACGUGCCCAAUCGUGGGGGAUAACGCAGCGAAAGCUGUGCUAAUACCGCAUACGAUCUACGGAUGAAAGCAGGGGAUCGCAAGACCUUGCGCGAAUGGAGCGGCCGAUGGCAGAUUAGGUAGUUGGUGAGGUAAAGGCUCACCAAGCCUUCGAUCUGUAGCUGGUCUGAGAGGACGACCAGCGACACUGGGACUGAGACACGGCCCAGACUCCUACGGGAGGCAGCAGUGGGGAAUUUUGGACAAUGGGCGAAAGCCUGAUCCAGCCAUGCCGCGUGCAGGAUGAAGGCCUUCGGGUUGUAAACUGCUUUUGUACGGAACGAAACGGUCUUUUCUAAUAAAGAAGGCUAAUGACGGUACCGUAAGAAUAAGCACCGGCUAACUACGUG